rnacentral:rRNA from 1 species
ACGAAAGAGCAAUCUGGAGCAAAACCCAAAAAAUAAGUCUCAGUUCGGAUUGAAGGCUGAAAUUCGCCUUCAUGAAGCUGGAAUUGCUAGUAAUGGCAGGUCAGCAUACUGCCGUGAAUACGUUCCCGGGGCCUUGUACACACCGCCCGUCACACCAUGAGAGUUGGGAAUACCCGAAGCCUGUGAGCUAACUUUAAGAGGCAGCAGUCGAAGGUAGAAUCAAUGAUUGGGGUGAAGUCGUAACAAGGUAAC